CAAUAAGCGGAGGAAAAGAAACUAACAAGGAUUCCCCUAGUAACUGCGAGUGAAGCGGGAAAAGCUCAAAUUUAAAAUCUGGCGGUCUUUGGCCGUCCGAGUUGUAAUCUGGAGAAGUGUUUCCGGCGUCGGACCGUGUACAAGUCUCCUGGAAUGGAGCGUCAUAGAGGGUGAGAAUCCCGUCUGACACGGACUACCGAGGCUUUGUGGUGCGCUCUCAAAGAGUCGAGUUGUUUGGGAAUCCAGCUCAAAAUGGGUGGUAAAUUCCAUAAAGCUAAAUAUUGGCCGGAGACCGAUAGCGCACAAGUAGAGUGAUCGAAAGA
rnacentral:rRNA from 1 species